GAUGAACGCUGGCGGCGUGCCUAAUACAUGCAAGUCGAGCGAACAGACGAGAGUGCUUGCACUCUCUGACGUUAGCGGCGGACGGGUGAGUAACACGUGGGUAACCUACCUAUAAGACUGGGAUAACUUCGGGAAACCGGAGCUAAUACCGGAUAAUAUUUAGCUUCGCAUGAAGCAAUAGUGAAAGACGGUUCUGCUGUCACUUAUAGAUGGACCCGCGGUGUAUUAGCUAGUUGGUGAGGUAACGGCUCACCAAGGCAACGAUACAUAGCCGACCUGAGGAGGUGAACAGGCACACUGGGACUGGGGCACGGCCCAGGCUCCUACGGGAGGCAGCAGUAGGGAAUCUUCCGCAAUGGACGAAAGUCUGACGGAGCAAUGCCGCGUGAGUGAAGAAGGUUUUCGGAUCGUAAAACUCUUUUGUAAGGGAAGAACAAGUACGUUAGUAACUGAACGUACCUUGACGGUACCUUACCAGAAAGCCACGGCUAACUACGUG
rnacentral:rRNA from 1 species